AAAAACAUGGCUCUUUGUUGAUAUAGACGUAUAAGGAGUCUGACCUGCCCGGUGGUAUACGUACUAAACGGCUGCAGUAUCCUGACUGUGCAAAGGUAGCAUAAUAAUUUGCCUUUUAAUUAAAGGCUGGUAUCAAAGGUUUAACGAAAGUAAAGCUGUCUCUUUUAUUUAAGUUAGAAGUUAUUUUUAAAGUUUAAAAGCUUUAAUUUUAUUAAAGGACGAGAAGACCCUGUCGAGCUUAUAAAUAUUUCUUAAAAGUAACGAUUAUGAUUAUAGAUAUGUACUUAAUCGAUGAUUUUAAGUUGGGGCAACUGCGGGGCAUUAAAAACCCCCGUUUUAUUUUAAGUUUGUAAGUGAUCCGACAAUGUCGAAAAAUGACUUAGCUACCGCAGGGAUAACAGCGUAAUUUUUUCUGGAGAGAUCGUAUUGAUAGGAAAGAUUGCGACCUCGAUGUUGGAUUAGAAUAUACUUUAGGGUGCAGGAGCUUUAAAAAGUUAGUCUGUUCGACUAUUAAAUUUCUACGUG
rnacentral:rRNA from 1 species